UACAGGGGGGGCAAGCGUUGUUCGGAAUUACUGGGCGUAAAGGGCUCGUAGGCGGCCAACUAAGUCACACGUGAAAUCCCCAGGCUUAACCUGGGAACUGCGUGUGAUACUGGAUGGCUUGAAUUCGGGAGAGGGAUGCAGAACUCCAGGUGUAGCGGUGAAAUGCGUAGAUAUCUGGAGGAAUACCGGUGGCGAAGGCGGCAUCCUGGACCGACAUUGACGCUGAGGAGCGAAAGCUAGGGGAGCAAACGGG
rnacentral:rRNA from 1 species